rnacentral:rRNA from 1 species
GACGAACGCUGGCGGCGUGCCUAAUACAUGCAAGUCGAACGCAUUUUCUUUCACCGUAGCUUGCUACACCGAAAGAAACUGAGUGGCGAACGGGUGAGUAACACGUGGGUAACCUGCCCAUCAGCGGGGGAUAACACUUGGAAACAGGUGCUAAUACCGCAUAAUUCCAUUUACCGCAUGGUAGAUGGGUGAAAGGCGCUUUUGCGUCACUGAUGGAUGGACCCGCGGUGCAUUAGCUAGUUGGGGGGGUAACGGCCUACCAAGGCUGCGAUGCAUAGCCGACCUGAGAGGGGGAUCGGCCACACUGGGACUGAGACCAGGCCCAGACUCCUACGGGAGGCAGCAGUAGGGAAUCUUCGGCAAUGGACGCAAGGCUGAACGAGCAACGCCGCGUGAGUGAAGAAGGUUUUCGGAUCGUAAAACUCUGUUGUUAGAGAAGAAAAAGGAUGAGAGUGGAAAGUUCAUCCCUUGACGGUAUCUAACCAGAAAGCCACGGCUAACUACGUG